rnacentral:rRNA from 1 species
UACGUAGGGCGCAAGCGUUAUCCGGAAUUAUUGGGCGUAAAGAGCUCGUAGGCGGUUUGUCGCGUCUGCCGUGAAAGUCCGGGGCUUAACUCCGGAUCUGCGGUGGGUACGGGCAGACUAGAGUGCAGUAGGGGAGACUGGAAUUCCUGGUGUAGCGGUGAAAUGCGCAGAUAUCAGGAGGAACACCGAUGGCGAAGGCAGGUCUCUGGGCCGUAACUGACGCUGAGGAGCGAAAGCAUGGGGAGCGAACAGG